rnacentral:rRNA from 1 species
GGUAUUUUGACUAUACGAAGGUAUUGAAAUAAGACUUUAAAUGAGUGCUAAGAGAAUGGUUGAACAAUUAUUAACUUUCUUUAAGUUAAAAAUUAAAUUUAAUUUUUUUGUGAAGAAGCAAAAAUAAAAAUUAGGGACAAGAAGACCCUAUGAAUUUUAAUUUGGGUAUUAAUUUAUAGUAAUUAUUUUUAAAUUUAAUUGGGGCGAUAAAAAAAGAAUGUCUAUCUUUAAUAUUGCAGGAAAGGUUGUUCCGUUUAUUAACGAUUAAUUGAAAAAAAUACUCUAGGGAUAACAGCGUAAUUAUUUUGGAUAGUUCAUAUAGAUAAAGUAGUUUGCGACCUCGAUGUUGGAUUAGGAUACUCUUUUGGUGAAGAAGUUAAAAAGAGAAGUUUGUUCAACUUUUAAUCUCCU